AUGGCGGCGGCCGGCGCACCGCCGCCGCGCGCCUUCUCCGCGGAGCUGAGGAGGGCUCCGCUCUCCGCGGGCCUCGCGCCGCCGCGGCAGGGGACCAGGGCUCGCGCGUCGUGGCCCCUCCCCCGCCAGGAAACUGUUUGUAGUCGUGGCCGGUUGAUAUCGACCAUGUCUAGUUCAAGGUCAUUGGCGUGCUCUCCUUGUCGUUGCGCUCAGGUGGCUUUGGCUGACGCAGAGAUUGCUUACCAGCCUGAGGCUGAGAAGCAUGCUGGAGUUCUGGCCUAUGAACUGGUUCAAGGGAACCUUGUACAAUGGAACUCUUUUAUGGACAAAUCAAUACCUGAUCCACCAACAGCUGUACUCCUUCAUGGCAUCCUUGGGAGCGGGAAAAACUGGGGGUCGUUUGCAAAGAGGUUAGCUCAGGAAUUUCCAAUGUGGCAGUUUCUUUUGGUUGAUUUGCGUUGCCACGGUGACUCGGCAUCAAUUAAGAAAAGAGGACCACACACUGUUGCUUCCACUGCUUUUGACGUUCUAAAGCUGAUAGGGCAACUCAGGCUGUCUCCUCGAGUGUUGGUUGGUCACAGCUUUGGUGGAAAAGUGGCUUUGAGUAUGGUAGAUCAAGCUGCAAAACCACUUGCCCGUCCUGUCAGGGUAUGGGUUCUUGAUGCUACUCCUGGCAAAGUUCGUUCUGGGCUAGAUGGCGAAGAUCAUCCCGCUGAACUUAUUGAUUUCCUCAGAAGAAUGCCUGUGCAGGUUAAUUCAAAGCAGGAAGUUGUUGAUGCUCUAGUUAAAGCAAAGUUUUCUGUGGAUGUUGCACGGUGGGUGGCAACAAAUCUCCGACGGAGCAGCCCAUCAGGACCACGAUCUUCUACAAGCUACUCAUGGAUAUUCAACUUAAAUGGCAUCUCUGAGAUGUACAAGUCCUAUGAAGACACUAACCUAUGGAGGAUUGUAGAGAACGUACCGCGCGGGGUACACAUUAAUUUCCUCAAGGCUGAAAGAAGUUUGCAUAGAUGGGCCCUUGAAGACCUUCAGAGAAUUCAUACCGCGGAGGAGGUGGCUGCCGAUGAGGCUGGGGGAGUUGAAAUGCAUGUGCUUGAAGAUGCUGGACACUGGGUUCACGCAGAUAACCCUGACGGGCUCUUCAGAAUCCUUUCGUCAACCUUCCGCAUCGAGACCAGCCUAAGAGGGCGGGAGUGA
rnacentral:rRNA from 1 species